rnacentral:lncRNA from 1 species
GGCGACAGGAGGGGCUCGGUGCAGGCUAAUCCACGCGCGGAGUCCAGGGUCCCUCUACAGCGGUUUCCCUGGGAACCACUCUGGCUGGAAAUCCUGUGGCUGCCUUUGGAGGAUGUGAACUCUCCUGGGAUGAUGUACAUUCCAAAUAGCGAGUGCACAGGCUAGACCUUCAGUGUUCAGUAACGAGACCGACCUGAUCCUGAUCAGUAGUCAGGGGUUGCCGGCAGUGGAAGAACAAAGAGAUGCUCUGUACCCACUGAAGACGAAGGCUAUGGGCUGACAAGCCUAGCAUCGGUGGUCAGCCAUUUUGCCAUUAGUGCUAUGAAGAGAAGGCCUUUUCCUCAGGACCAGAAGUGCUCUGCGCUCUGCUAUUAACCCCAUGAAAAGAGUUCUUUCCAGAUAAGCGGAUACUUGCGGCUGCGUGGAGUGGAUCCCAGUCCCAGUUUGCUACCAGCAAUCCCAACCCAAGACACAGAUGAGCAUUGUCUGGGAAAGCACACUGUCGUCACCUGCCUCCCCCAUCCCGGUCCCCACCACUCUCUGACUGAUGCCAUCGCCUAGAUGAUAAAGCGCCCGUCACUCAAGCACAGAAGUCGAAAUUCAUAGUUCAUUUCUUUACUUAUGUAAGAUCAUUCACUGACAAAAGAACUCAAAUGGAAAGGCUUUGGGCAUAUGCAGAAACGGGGAGAAAAAAAUAAUCUCUCCGAGUCAGAAGCCUCGGGGGAGCAUAGCAAGACUUAUCAAAGUUACAGUGCUCCAUUUGGAAAGCGCCAACCGCCAGCCCUCGGGCGAGGUGCAGUGGUGCAUAAUUAAUGUAGUCCCAGACACAGGUCACUGAAGUGCCCCACAGGUGUGUGCCUGGUUUUCAAUAAGGCCUUUCCCUCGGAACUCCUCUUCCGACUUUGAGUUUGUGCUCCCGGAAGCCUUGCACGAUCGGGAGAAUUCAGAAGAACGAUCUGAAUGCCCAUCAAUAGAAAAUGGCAAGAAAUUACGGCAGAUCUAGUCUCUGGAAUCCUAGGUAUUUGGGGAAAAGAAGCAAGCUGGGUCCCAAAACACUGAUAUAGAAAAGUGGCUGUAGUUUUUGUUGUUGGUGUUGUUUUGUUUUUGCUUUUCAUCAGGAAGGCAAAUAGAAAAAGGUUCACAAUAUUCCAUUUUUUGCAAGACUUCCAUUUUUCAAGUAAGUCUUUGUCCUGAAGGUCACACCAAUGCCCUCAUUAUAUAUGCCCUUCCUGCAAUAUGUGGCUUUUCUGGGUUUCCUGAGCAGGCUGCAGUUUGAGUUUGAACCCUGGGCCUACAGGUGCACAGAUGCUAUCAGCAUUGAUUUGUCCCUCUCGAGACUUUCCAGAUUUGGAGACGUGCCACGCAGUGGAGCGUGAUGACUGUCCAAGAGCUGUUAAGGAGCUACCUCGUGCCCCCGACCACAACCCCCUGCGCGCGCCCCCUGGCGGGGAAGAGGCUUGGCCCCCAUGGGAUAUCAGAAGCAGGAGAACCCUAAGAAAGCGCCCCUCCCUCUGUGCUUGAGGAGACUACUCCGAAGUGGGAUUUCUUCCCGCAAACUUUUCCAGAAGAAUCCGGCGUGAGAAGUAGACACACCUGCUGAAACCGGCCAGCACAGCUACGCAUCCCAUCACUUCAUUGUUUCUGGAUUAACUUCCGGUUGUUUUGUUUUAUUUAACUUUCUCCUUCACCAGCCUUGCUUGCUUUUCCCAAAUAAAGUGGACCCCGAUAAUC